GAUGAACGCUGGCGGCGUGCCUAACACAUGCAAGUCGAACGGAAAGGCCCUGCUCUUGCGGGGCGCUCGUUUGGCGAACGGGUGAGUAACACGCGAGUAACCCCCUCUUGUCUUUGGGAUAACUUUAGGAAACUGGGGCUAAAAUCGGAUAGGAGCUUCUGCUGCACGGGGGUGGAUGGAAAGAUACGGCGGUUGUGGAUGGACUCGCGGCUUAUCAGCUUGUUGGUGGGGUAGUGGCUUACCAAGGGUUUGACGGGUAGCCGGCCUGGGAGGUUGGACGGCGUCCAUAGGCCUGCGGUAGGGCCCAGAAGCCUACCGGAGGCAACGGUGGGAAGUAUUGCACAGCAGGCCGGAGCCUGAUACGGAAACCCCGGGAGCGUGAUGACGGGCUUCGGGUUGUGAACCGCUUUGGACUUUAACGAGGAGAGCGUGACGGUAAUGAGUAAAAAAGCACCGGCUAACUACGUG
rnacentral:rRNA from 1 species